UACAGAGGGUGCGAGCGUUGUCCGGAAUCACUGGGCGUAAAGGGCGCGUAGGUGGCGAUCCAAGUCCAUGGUGAAAGCUCGAUGCUCAACAUCGAGUACGGCCACGGAUACUGGGUUGCUUGAGCACUGUAGGGGCAGAUGGAAUUCCGGGUGUAGCGGUGGAAUGCGUAGAGAUCCGGAAGAACACCGGUGGCGAAGGCAGAUCUCUGGGCCGUAACUGACGCUGAGGAGCGAAAGCGUGGGGAGCGAACAGG
rnacentral:rRNA from 1 species